rnacentral:rRNA from 1 species
GCUGGCGGCACGCCUAACACAUGCAAGUCGAACGAAGUAGCAAUACUUAGUGGCAGACGGGUGAGUAACAUGUGGGUAUCUGCCCUUUGGCCUGGAAUAACACGAGGAAACUUGUGCUAAUACCGGAUAAGUCUUCACGGAGAAAGCUUUAUGCACCAUUGGAUGAGCCCGCACUUGAUUAGUUUGUUGGUGGGGUAAUGGCCUACCAAGACUUUGAUCAAUAGCUGAUUUGAGAGGAUGAUCAGCCACAUUGGGACUGAGACACGGCCCAAACUCCUACGGGAGGCAGCAGUGGGGAAUCUUGCACAAUGGAGGAAACUCUGAUGCAGCGAUGCCGCGUGAGUGAAGAAGGCCCUUGGGUUGUAAAGCUCUUUCGUCGGGGAAGAAAAUGACUGUACCCGAAUAAGAAGGUCCGGCUAACUUCGUGCCAGCAGCCGCGGUAAUACGAAGGGACCUAGCGUAGUUCGGAAUUACUGGGCUUAAAGAGUUCGUAGGUGGUUGAAAAAGUUGGUGGUGAAAUCCCAGAGCUUAACUCUGGAACUGCCAUCAAAACUUUUCAGCUAGAGUUUGAUAGAGGAAAGCAGAAUUUCUAGUGUAGAGGUGAAAUUCGUAGAUAUUAGAAAGAAUACCAAUUGCGAAGGCAGCUUUCUGGAUCAUUACUGACACUGAGGAACGAAAGCAUGGGUAGCGAAGAGGAUUAGAUACCCUCGUAGUCCAUGCCGUAAACGAUGUGUGUUAGACGUUGGAAAUUUAUUUUCAGUGUCGCAGCGAAAGCGAUAAACACACCGCCUGGGGAGUAC